GACGAAGGGGGCUAGCGUUGUUCGGAAUUACUGGGCGUAAAGCGCGAUGUAGGCGGUUAUCCAAGUCAGGUGUGAAAGCCUUGAGCUCAACUCAAGAAAUGCACUUGGUACUGGGUGACUAGAGGACCGGAGAGGAUAGUGGAAUUCCCAGUGUAGUGGUGAAAUACGUAGAGAUUGGGAAGAACACCAGUGGCGAAGGCGGCUAUCUGGACGGUUUCUGACGCUAAGACGCGAAAGCGUGGGGAGCAAACAGG
rnacentral:rRNA from 1 species